rnacentral:lncRNA from 1 species
CCCAGAGUUAGGAGUCUUCAUGUUCUGUCUCCCUUUCUGAUAUUUCCCACACAUUACUUCUCCCUUCCCUUAUAUUCCCUUUCAUUAUUAUUUAUAUUCCGCAAAUGAAUGAGAACAUAUAAUGUUUGUCCUUCGAUUGACUUACUUCACUCAGCAUAAUACCCUCCAGUUCCAUCCACGUUGAAGCAAAUGGUGGGUACAAAGUGUAUUCAAAGACAGCAAUUUGGGGCAUGAGAAACCAGAUCCUCCUGGAAUUCUGGAUGAUAAGAGAGUUCCAUUGUGGUAACCACCAUAGGCUACCCUAAAAAUCUUAAAUUCACAGAUUAAGUGCUAGACUGGCGAGCUCUACUUUGGAAAGGAAUCCAUAUUUGGCUAGAUACAGUACCAUCUCUGCAGAUUAUCUGUUGAAGUUUGAAGACCAGUCUGGUGGCCAGUGCCAAAUGGCAAAUACAACAGAACUCCUCAAAAAUGGGAGACAGAGAUAUGGAUAGAAUAGGCUCACCAAUAAGAAAAAGCAAUAAUUAAUUACCAUUUAAGACCAUGAAUUUAAUUCUUUUUUCCCCAAAUUCUCACUGCAUCAGUCAAAAGACAGGAAAAACAAAAACAACAAAAACUCCUAUGAGAAAAUAGGGAAGACCUUGGAGGAUAUUUGGUAAUUUUAAUUAUCCAGAUGGAGAAACCAUGCACCAAUUUCUGUUCUACCACAAAUGAAGGAAAAACCUCCCUGGAAAGGCAAGUAAGGUGGGCUUUCCCAGCAGAACAUCCCAUCCCCAAACCUCUAAAACUGAUGGGGAGCCAAGGAACAGUUGGUGGAGGAAACCCUACUCUUUUGAAUCACAGAGAGUGGAUUCAGAGCUUGCCCAGAGGCAAUCUUCCUAGAAUGUUUAUGUGGUGUCCUCCUGGCACGUAUGCCUAUGGAGUUGUCCGGGGACAUCAGGGCCAGGCCCUGCUUCUAAAAGAGUGGCCUGGUGAGCAGAUUACUUCCAUUAGCCAGUGCAUUAUUUCCUCCAUGGCAGGGUGUGAAACUGAACCACCAGAAUAAUGUUGACACAUUGAUUUUGGACAGCCUUCAUUCAUGUUGGAUACACAUACAUGUUGAAUUCAGGUCUCUAGGCUACCACCAACUCUUGGGUUUAGUCUAUAUACAGGGGACCAUAUUGGUGUUCAUCCAUCUGAGUUCCAAUCACAUGCCACCACCAUUCCAGGGCUCUGGGGUGGAGGCAGGCAUCAUUUGCCUUGUGUGGCCACUACCAGGGUAGUCAUUCCACCCCUUCCAAAGGUUCAGGACCAUUUGCCAGGCCAUCCUCUGGGGGUGGCCAGGCCAAGCUCUUCCAAGGGCGUUUAAGAUCAUUAUUCUAAAAUGCCAAAAAGCCCCUCCAAUGUCCUCUCCUGUCUAAUAGUAUUGGUGGCAUCAUGCUCUUCUAGAUCAGUCGUAAGCCAUAUUGGAUGAAAAACAGAUGUUCUUUGUGGGAAUGGGACCACUCUUCUUGCUUUGCUUGCAGGCCCCUCAACUAUCCUGUCUGUUUGCAGCAGGGAUGCUGUCAACAUUGAAAGAGAUCACAUUCUGGGAAUGUAAUGAACACAGCUAAAGAGUUCAAGGGAAGAUGUGGUUGGAAGAGGUGUCAUUCUACAUUUAUGCUACAAAAUUUCAAGGUAUAAAUUUAACAUGACCAGAAAACAAAUUAUUCACAAUUUCCUUCACACUUUGAGGAAGACUUGUGUUUGUGGGCAACUAAAACAAAGCACAGUAACAGUCUUUGAGAGUCCUUGGAAACCGGUAUUGACAGGCAGCUCUGGAUAAUGCAGCAUCAUGAAUAACAAUAUAACCAGCACGAAACAAAAGCAUUAGGGAACAUCAGAGUCAAGAAGAUCUACAUUGUUUUACUACAAACAGGUUCGGAAGAGGCAUGGCAUUGUGUAUAAUAACAUAAUCACUAGCUUUUUCUCCUGGUGAGACACAAGAAAUUAGUCAGGCACUCGGUAUUUGACAGUAAAUAGAGCACUAAUAAAGAACAGGACGAGAGGAGUUCAAGACAUGCUCAAGAAGAUACGGUGUUUGGCCACUACAGAGAGUAUUCGCAUGAACUGACUGGAUAAUAGGACAUAAGACUUAAGUCCCUCCUCUAUCCAUUGUUUAAAUCUUCAUUGACAAUUCACUA